CUUGAGCUUUUCAGUGUCCUCCGCUCCAGACUGUGCUUCCCAGAGGCGGUCUGUGGGGACCGCUGGCCACUCCCCACCGCUGGCCGGCCGCACGCAGAGCCCCGCGCGCACACUUGUUAGGAACUUUCCAGGAGACUGCCUGUGGGACCAGAGAAGGAAGAAACCUGUCCAGAAAUGAGGCGACUUAAUGUUCGGACACCAUUGCAUCAAGCGUUUUAAAACUGCCCUGACCAUCUUGUCAAAUGAGUCUCUGCUCAUG
rnacentral:lncRNA from 1 species